ensembl:lncRNA
GCUAGAUGGCAAAGCAACAGCGGCGGCCGAGGCGCUCGGGUCGGUCGUUGUCCUCGCGCCGCGCCCUCACGAAGCGCCCCCACAGAGGCCCACCGCGCCCCUGCCCGCCUCGGCCGAGCCCGGCGCCCGCCCGCCGCGCCCACCACGCCCGCCGGCGCCGGCACAGGGGCCCGACACGAGAGACGCCGGUGGGAGCUCCGAGAGUGCUCCGGGCCGCCGCGCCCGGUGACAGCGGUCCCCGCGCCGCCUCACCUCCUGGGCGGCCGUGGCAGCGGCCCCGCAGCUCUCCUCUCCUCUCCGCCUCCGCCUCCAGCAGCCCCGCACCGCCGCCUCCUCCCCCCGCGUCUCUGCUCUCGCCCGCUAGACCGCGGCUGGACGGCUGUGAGGACAGUCUGAGGAAGAGUCGGCGGAACCUCGCCCACAAGAGGAACCCUUAUACCAGAUUCGUGCGCAGUCCGAACUCAGUUUGAGCCGGAAGUGGACAUCACGUCGUGUCUUAAGCUGCGAGCUUCCAGAGAGAACAGAUUUGCUUGUACUAUGGACUAGCGUGGGUCCCCAUGAAAAGUCUUUGAAGUGUUUGAUGGUGAUGAUCUCACAGAGUAUCUCUUUUCCAGUUCGUUUUAUGGAGAAACGAGCUGAUAGCGUCAUUUUAACUCACAAAAGCUGGAACUCAGCCGGCUCCCCCACCCCACCCCGUGUUCUGCUAAGAACGGAAACUUUAGUCAUCCCUUUCAUUUUCCAUCAUUACAAAGAAAUAGCGUUGCAGAUUUUGGGACUAUGCGUAUGUGUAUUUUAAACUAAAAAAUAGACAAGCAUUUUUUCCUUGAUUUGAGGCACAGUUAAGAAUAGUAGCCACUCUGCAAGUCUUUGUGGACUUACAAUUUACCAAAUGAAGACACUGAAACCCC